AAGUUCAUAAUCUUGACUUUUCAAUUGAUAU
rnacentral:piRNA from 1 species